AACCCCUAGCUAGGCUGGGGGGACCGUAAAGCUUACAGUUAUAUACCUCCUUUCAAUUUGAAAAAAACGUCUUGCGGUCUGGCAACUGCAAGAGUUAAUUAAGAAUUGAAAG
rnacentral:sRNA from 1 species